AUAUAAUUAAAAUUAGUUAUUAAUUUUAUUUAAAUUUUAAUCUAAUUUUGUAGUGAAUCUGUACACCUUAAAUACACACAUAUUACAAUUACACUGCAGAAAGAAUCACAAAACGCCAACAAAUACCUCUUUCUGUUAUCUUCUGUUCUGUACUUCACUCACCCAGCAGAUAAAGAUCAAAUUUAAAUCCACACAACUUCAGGUUCAAAGACAGGAAAGCCAGCCCGCCCGCCCUUGUUGGGAUCACAAAAUGCAUCCCAGAUUUUGAUAUUAACUGUUCUUUCUUUCUGGUAAGGUUAAAGAUCUAAUUUUUAUUUUUAUUUUUGCAAUCAAAUUUCAAGAAUAUGGGAAAAACAGGCAGGGACUGGAUGCAGAUCUAUGCGAUCUAUGGAGUAGAUGAUUGGCAGACGCCAUUGUUUCUCCUUAUUAACGCUAUAGGCUUUUCGAUUCUUUCAGUCAUCUUCCUUCUUUACUUUGAGCCCAUUUGCUAUCUCUUCUACCACUUUCUCCCUGGCCCAGGAUCAGCUCGCUUUGCGGCGGGGUUUAGUGGAUCAGUCACAGCUCUCUCCGCCAUCUGUCUCUUCUUCUCCGCGGCUAAUUUCUUUUACUCCGCCGUCGCCCUCCACUGGGAAAUGUCUCAGCGUAUAGUUGCCUCCAUCCCUGACUGGUCCUCCGUCAAGCACGCACUCGACCUCGGCUGCGGCAGGGGCAUCCUCCUCAAUGCCGUCGCUUUACAGCUCAAGAAAUCUGGUUCUUCCGGCCGGGUUGUCGGGCUCAACCGGACACAGAACGGAGGAAAUCAAUUUCCCAUCCCGACCACCACACUCCGAACCGCCACCCUCGAGGGUGUCCAGGAGUAUGUCACGUGCCGGCCAGGUGACCCAAGAACUCUUCCGUUCAGUGACAACUACUUCGACGUGGUGGUUUCAGCUGCGUUCGUGCAUACAGUAGGAAAAGAGUUUGGACCCAAAUCCGCCGCAGCAGCAGCGGAACGGAUGCGCGUGUUGGCUGAGGUGGCGCGUGUGUUGAAACCCGGGGGAGUAGCAGUGAUUUGGGAUGUAGUGUACGUGCCGGAGUAUGUGGAGAGACUACACGAAUGGAAGAUGGAGGAGAUUAGGGUGUCGGGGCGCGUGACGGCGUUCAUGGUCAGCAGCCACAUCGUAUCAUUUCGGAAGCCACGUCAGCAUUUUGUGGGGUCCAAUGAAGUCAGAUUGGAUUGGAGAUUAAACAAUCUCUGUUGAAAAAUAAAAUCAUAUGAAAAAGUCAUAUGAUUAUAAUUUAUAUUGUGCUUUUAUUUUUAUUUUUAUUAUUUUUUUUUUGGUCUUUUUGAGUUGUAGAAGAAAAACUAAAAUGGGCUGGUGAUACGAAGUAGAACCAGUUAUCCUUUCUAUGAGAGUGAAAUAUAUACCAUUGUAAAUAUCAAUAUCAAUAUCAAUAUUAAAAAUUAGUAAUGUUUCAAAAGUCGACUUGAACAUGGACAGAAGAAUGAAUUGGUCAAAAGAUAAGAAGAUCGAACUAAUUCUAAAAAAGUUAAAUAAAACUUAUUGUCACAGAUCUUAGAUUUUCGAUUUUUACCUUAUAAUUGGAUCCAAUUUCGAAUUGAUUCUCAAUUUGGACAAAGAAGGUUGUUGUUUUCAAG
rnacentral:lncRNA from 1 species